rnacentral:tRNA from 1 species
GGGAGAGGCUCGCACAGCAACGAAAACUGCUAAUUUCCGUACCCUCGGUUGAACCCCGGGGCUCACUCA